rnacentral:lncRNA from 1 species
CCGGCCGCCGACUUCUCGCCCUGCCCGCUCGCCUCGCUCCUGCGCGGGCGGAAAGCGGCGCCUCGCCGCCCAGAGGAUUGUCCCCGGCGUGGCUUCGCAUCCUCGGUCACUUUUUGAGAUUUUCCGGGGGGCGCUCGGCGGCUUCCCGGGUUCCUGGGGGACUCGCCGCUGAGCGUGGGGGCCGCGGAGCGGGCGAGCCGGGAAGGCGCCCGGGCUUAGCGGAGGCUCGCACGGAGGCAAGAACUUAUUCAACAAGUUUACCCCUGGCUUUCCUCUUUUCGAUGUGCGUUUUCGGACAUGCGGAGGUUACUGGAACCGUGUUGGUGGAUUUUGUUCCUGAAAAUCACCAGUUCCGUGCUCCAUUAUGUCGUGUGCUUCCCGGCAUUGACUGAAGGCUACGCUGGGGCCCCGCAGGACAGCAGACACGGCGGCUCCGUGCAGAUCCGCAGGCGCAAAGCUUCUGGUGACCCGUACUGGGCCUACUCAGGUGAGUUGUUCUGAUGGGAGCACGGACAGCCCCUCACACUCACUACCAGGCACACGUCUCACGCCUUGCACACCUGAGUUCUUCUCGUGCGCCCGUUUUGGAGUUCACUAAAAGUUGAAAUACUGAAGCCUGAUCUCUCCCACCUGUUUUCUCAACCUGUUUUCCCCAUCCAUUUGCACUUAUUUCUGAACGUUCCUUGUUAAUGAAUUAUUGUUCCCAUCUCAGAACUUUCCAAAGACUCUGCAGAGCCUCCCCUCCUCCGUCCUUUGGCUGCCUGCGAUUCAGCGAGCGUGGAGUACAAGGCUUGUCCCGGUGGCCUAAACGGCUGCUUAUAGAGCAGAAAGCGU